UACCUCUUUCUCUCUUUCUCUUCUCUUUUGGACAAUUAGAUUGGCUUUGUGACACAAACAUCCCAGAGGCUAAUAAUUAAAAAUAUUACCAUCACAAAAUUUUGUUGUUGUUGUUGUUGUUUUUCGCAUAGUUAGCACAGCCAACAGACUAAUCCGUACUCAGCCAGCGGGCUAGACCGUACUCGGCCAACGGGCUAGACCGUACUCGGCCAACGGGCUAGACCGUACUCGGCCAACGGGCUAGACCGUACUCGGCCAACGGGCUAGACCGUACUCAGCCAGUUAGGGUGGUCCAGGGGUGGUCCCAGCGAAAUUGUAAGUGUCAAUAUACUUAUUUUAGUAUUUAAAUGCUGACUCUCUCCUCUGUGUUCUUAACACACAAUUUUUAUUUUAAACACUGGAAAUCUUCUAAUUCUGUGUGUUGCAUCGUUCAUCACUCAGCCUGUCUGAUAUGUUCAAACCCUUUUGGUCAGCAGCUCGCUGGGUGGGGUGGGGGCACGGCUGUGUAGAAUUUGAGUUUUGAUGUAGUCCUGUGUAUAUCAGCAUGGCUCCAGUGCUGUAAUUAUGGAUAUUGGUAAAUGAUUGGUUUGUGAUCAGCGCGCAGCCUCGUGAUCAGAGUACGUCCGCUUGGACCCGAUUCCUUCCCUCCUGUUGUUAGCAGGCAGCCAGGCCCGUAGUUGGAUAAACAGCAGGUCUUCCUGUUGCAGGAGCCUUUUGGAAUGUGUGGAACAAGCCCUGCAGCUCAGGAGCUUAACCAUUCGGCGGGCGCCAUCUAGUGAUGGAGGUCAAAUUGGCAGGAAGAGCGGUUUGUUCAGCCCCUCGACGGUGUCCCUGCCCACCUUCAGCUCUCUGUGUCCCAACGCAGAAGAGCAGGAGCUGACACUGAGA